ensembl:snRNA LOC120096845 U2 spliceosomal RNA
AUCGCUUCUCGGCCUUUUGGCUAAGAUCAAGUGUAAAAGUGCUUUUAGUGUUUUGGGUUUUUUGUUUGUUAUUUUUGUUGAGAUAGAGUCUCAUGUAGCCCAGGCUGGCCUCAAAUUCAUUUAUAGGCUGAGGAUCACCUUAAAUAGCUGAUCCUCUUACCUCUAACCC